AACGAACGCUGGCGGCAUGCCUAACACAUGCAAGUCGAACGAGACCUUCGGGUCUAGUGGCGCACGGGUGCGUAACGCGUGGGAACCUGCCCUUAGGUUCGGAAUAACUCCCCGAAAGGGGUGCUAAUACCGGAUAAUGUCUUCGGACCAAAGAUUUAUCGCCUUUGGAUGGGCCCGCGCUGGAUUAGCUAGUUGGUAGGGUAAAAGCCUACCAAGGCGACGAUCCAUAGCUGGUCUGAGAGGAUGAUCAGCCACACUGGGACUGCGACACGGCCCAGACUCCUACGGGAGGCAGCAGUGGGGAAUAUUGGACAAUGGGCGAAAGCCUGAUCCAGCAAUGCCGCGUGAGUGAUGAAGGCCUUAGGGUUGUAAAGCUCUUUUACCCGGGAUGAUAAUGACAGUACCGGGAGAAUAAGCUCCGGCUAACUCCGUG
rnacentral:rRNA from 1 species